rnacentral:misc_RNA from 1 species
CUGUUACAGCAAGCACAUACAUGGGUCUUUAUCAGCCAGUGUUCAUCAGCAUAAGCUCAGGAAAGUUAAAAUAUUCUUAGGUCACCCUGUCAGUGAAGAAUCUCAGACUCACUCCUGAAAGUAACAGGAAAUGAACAACAUUAGUGAGCAAUCUAUACUGACUUCAGCUGAUAGGAUCUAACACUCAGCGGAUGGCGUGAGAAGAAAUGAAUAAAAUAUUUGUUUGUUGUUGAGCAAAGCUUCACACUGGACUGUCUGUGCUGUCCCAACCGCAGGAACAUGUAGGUUUGACGACAAGUGAAAGUAUAAUGAUUUAUUUAACCUUAAGAAAAGGCGUGAAAAAAAUGAUAAGAUCAACAACAAGAAGAAAAAAAAACCCUUCUAAAAUCCUGUUAGACAAUUUCAGAAUCGUGUUGUUGAUUUACCUCUGUAAAAUUCGUUAGUUAGUUAACGGGCUCCUUUCCCUGCGACAACCCACCUUCUCCACUGACUGCAUUUCCUGACCUUUGUUCUGCUUCGUUCAAAGUGGCACCCCCAUUUAUUCGGGUCAUCUUCAACGGUUAACCUUCAUGUUUUUUUUUUACCUGUCUCAUUUUCGUUUCAGAUGAAAUCAAUUCAAUUAUCUUCUUGAUCAUUUUGUGAAAUAUGUUGUACAAUUUUGAAAGUUUGAGUCCAAGUCUUUGAUACUAUUGAACAUCCGGGAAUGAAAAUCUACAA